UGUGGUUUCCGGUGUUGGGCAACCGUUAGAAGCAGGGCGAGGGUUCUGCACAGGCGUCCUCCGUCGUCUUCUACCGAAGGCCGUGUGGUGUCACGGUGAGCGUGGCAAAACCCGGAAAGAAGAAAAGAAGCCGAAGGAGCUUGGAGAAGUACGAAGGAGCACGAAGGAGCCCGAAGGAGCUGAAGACCCUCCUCACCUCGACCAUCUCCUCCCCCUACUUUUCCUCGUCGAAAGCAGAAGCAGCCCUGCUUGCGGGCAUCACCGCCGAGGCAGCUGGAUUUUCAAGAUGAGUAAACUAACACGAAUCUAUUUACCGUCGGUGUCUACGAACUAUUCGGAGUAGAAUGGAACAGAACGGAACGAGAUGAAAGGGAUCGUUUGGUGGUAUUCUCUGAUGUUGGCCAGCGAGAGCUGGGACACAGUAUACCUGUGUGUGCCAAUAUCUGCGAAAGCCAAAGCUGAAAUCGGAACCAGAGGUGGACAAAUUUUAUUCGAAUAACAGACGACGAAUAAAAAUUAUGAGAAACUUGCUCAUGCCUGGUCGAAACCAGCCACAUAGCCGGUUUACUCAAUGACUGGAAGUUGAGGGGUGCAAAAGACGUGCGAGAAAGUCAGAGAAUAUGCAACCCCUUGUAUGUACGUAACAAAGUUCUCCACGCUGUCAGUAUCAGCAUCGACCGUUUCACCGUAACGUCACCGGACACGCCAACCGUAACACCUAAUCGUUACAACUUCUUUUCUUUUUCUUUUUCGCCUCGCUUUCCUUUUUUUUUUACCGCUACACGAACACGAUUCGUCGACAUUCUACUCGAGAUCAGUUUUCAAUUUUUCAUAUUUCCCCAACCAACUUUAAUUGGUACAUUUAAAACGCUAUGCGUGCGAACUUCUCUUAUAUUCUCCUUAUGUACUUUUCCUAUCGAUAGCAAAGUAUCUCCGUAUUUCUUAACUUUCUUUCUACUCUCAACCCUCUUCGUAUUAUACUCUCUGCACUCUAUCUAUCAAUUCUUUCGUGUAUUUAUUGUCAAAUAUUCUACGAGUCUUUUCUACCUUCGUUCUUUUCUUUACAGCCUGUCAUACAUUUUACCUCGAUAUGUAACGCCAUCUUCCUUGAGCCCUAGCUCCUCGACUCGCUUCCACCCUUCUGCUCGCCCCCCCCCCCCCUUUUCCUCUACCGCUCGUUUCGGUAAUGCCAUGUAUACAAGCGCGCGCAUACACAUGCACUCGGAAAUGAACCCGAGCUCCUUCUCUUCGUCCUUUGCCCUUCGCUAUCCUUCCGUCUUGUCGGUGCUUCUCUCCUGUUAGCUUCGCUAAAAGCCUGACAAGGUUGUUACGCAAAGAGAAAUUCAAUAUAGCCGUUAACUCUCGGGUACUUGUGUCUACGUGGUUACUCGACCUCUCUUUUACUCCAAUAACUUAUUACCAAAGAGUGUCGCCGCAAAGCGCGACAACGUAAGACGAGCUCGAGGUUUCAAACGACUGAGCGUAAACGCUAGCCAUAGUCAACUUUACAUGUUCGGAAUUUGAGAUAAAUAUUUAAUCAGCAGAGAACAAUAACAGUGAAGAGUAGAUUCGAUCGUCAAUGAACGGAAAAUAACGAAGGUGUGGAUGCACCAGGUACUAAAAGCCAUAGUUACGUUACUGAAUGACUACCCUCUAGCGGUAGUCUUCGGUGAGUUGCUAGGAUACACCCCAGGCUCGAACCCCUUACGAUUCGGCUACCAGUGCCUACCCAGCUACUUUUCACGAUGUGUCUAAGAAUACCUACGGAAUCAAACGAAAUCUCUAUGUAGCUAAUGCCUUUUCUGAUAUGAUCUCUAUCGAAAUAUUCGGUUACGUCGACUUCAGAAGUGGAAGCAUAGAAACGUAGACCUUUUCUUCCUUACACCCUUCCUAAUCUUUCUAUUAGUUCCAUCCAAUCGACCAAUAGUCUAUCAACUUUAACGCUGUCGAAGCAUUAGCCCUUAAUCGUAUUUAGGUCGUGUUUGCGUUACACUCCAGAGAGUACCCGAUUGGCGUUUAAAUAUAUUCGCAGAACGAUUCAAUGUUUCCUUUACGUGAUUCGUGCUGACAAAAGCAAAUAUGUAUUUGGUAAAAGCUUUUCAGCUUUAAGAGAAUAAAGAGCACAUCGAAAACUUAUGUUCUACGAUGCGACCACGUAAAAUACAUUUAAUUAAAACUGUUUCGUGUGAAAUUUCAAGUAUAAUUUUGCAAGUUGUUCUGCGUUAAUUGGUCUCCAAGACAAAUAGCUUGUCGCUGAGAGUAAAGACGUAAUACCUUUUACGCGAAUGCAAUUAUGGAACUUUAACGAUGACGCUAAGCGCUUAAUUGCGUUUAUGCUCGAACGAGAUACCUAUGUAAUCGAGGAAACAAUAGACACAGCGUGCUGCAGAUCUUCGUACUGUACUAUAGGAUAUACGUUCUUAUCCGAUUCGCCUUGAGCACUAAAUACGUAUGUAUCAUAUCUCGUCUACGAAUAAACAGCC